GCCUCUGCACUGGGAUUCCUCCAGCCCCAGCAAGUCCCUCAGGUGGUCCCAGCCUCUGUGUCCGCCUCUGCUCUCCCAGAGCGCCUCAGGCAGAGCAGCCAGGAUGGGGACCAGGCCCGCCUUACCGGGAAUGAGCCUGUCACCUGCUCCUCCCACCCCGCAGCAGGUUCCCGUGGACCUGUGGCUGCUUGGAGAGGCCGGGGGUCACAGAUGGCGCCAGGACACUGUGCCUCUGUCGGGCUGACAGUGACUUCAGGAAUGCUCUCCUCCUGCCGCACUCUGGACCUGUUGGCCAUGCUGUUCAACUUAGCAAAUGUUCUUCCUCACCGCCAACCACAGUGGCCAGGUGCAAGUCCCUCUUGGACAACCUCAGCCCUGGAUACACCGCCUUAUUUACCACUUCGUGAGCAAAAAUAGUCCUUUUUUUUAAAUGGGGUCUCCUUCUGUUGACCAGGCUGGAGUGCAGUGGCGCAAUCACAGUUCACUGUAGCCUGACCUCCUGGGCUCAAGCGAUCUUCCCCUCAGCCUCCCAAGUAACUAGGACUACAGGUGCAUACCACCAUGCCCAGCUAAUAUUGUUUAUUUUGUGUAGAGACAGGGUCUAGCUAUGUUGCUCAGGCUUGACCUUUAGUUUUUCUCAGAAUUUCAAGAGGUUGUGUCUUAUCUGCCAACAGAUCAUGCAACCAGCAAGGCUCUGGUCCAAGUAGGAACGGAUGGUAAACUGGGCAGUGAUGAUGGUGGAGAUGGUGGUGGUGGUGAUGAUGAUGACAAUGAUAAUGAUGAUGGUGAUGGCAGUGGUGGUAGUGGUGAUGGUGCUGGUGGUGCUGGUGAUAUGAUGAUGGCAGUGAUGGUAGUGAUAAUAGUGAUGAUAAUGUGAUGGUAGUGAUGGUGGUGGCAGUAAUAGUGAUGGUGAUGGUGGCAGAGAGGGUGGUGACAGUGAUGUCAGUGGUAAUGGUGGUGGUGAUGGUAAUGGUGAUGGUGGUGGUGGUGAUGAUGGUGGUGAUAGUGGUAGUGAUGGUGUGGUGGAAAUGAUGGCUGUGAUCGUGAUGAUGAUGGUAGUGAUGGUUACAAUGAUAGUGGUGGUAGUGGUGGUGAUGGCAAUGAUGGUAUUGAUGGUGAUGGUGGUGGUGGUGGUAGUGAUGGUGGUGGUGGUAGAUGGUGGCAGUGAAGACGGUGGUAAUGGUAGAUGGUGGCAGUGAAGAUGGUGGUAAUGAUGGUAAUGGUGAUAGUGGUGCUGGUGGUGAUGGUGAUGGUGGUGGUGGUGGUAGUGAUGGUGAUGAUGAUGGUGAUAGUGAU
rnacentral:lncRNA from 1 species